AGAUCGAACUAAAGAGUUUGAUCCUGGCUCAGAUUGAACGCUGGCGGCAUGCUUUACACAUGCAAGUCGAACGGUAACAGGCCUUCGGGCGCUGACGAGUGGCGAACGGGUGAGUAAUGCAUCGGAACGUGCCCAGUCGUGGGGGAUAACGCAGCGAAAGCUGCGCUAAUACCGCAUACGAUCUGUGGAUGAAAGCGGGGGACCUUCGGGCCUCGCGCGAUUGGAGCGGCCGAUGUCAGAUUAGGUAGUUGGUGGGGUAAAGGCUCACCAAGCCGACGAUCUGUAGCUGGUCUGAGAGGACGACCAGCCACACUGGGACUGAGACACGGCCCAGACUCCUACGGGAGGCAGCAGUGGGGAAUUUU
rnacentral:rRNA from 1 species